rnacentral:rRNA from 1 species
GGUGCAUUAGCUAGUUGGUAAGGUAACGGCUUACCAAGGCAAUGAUGCAUAGCCGAGUUGAGAGACUGAUCGGCCACAUUGGGACUGAGACACGGCCCAAACUCCUACGGGAGGCAGCAGUAGGGAAUCUUCCACAAUGGACGAAAGUCUGAUGGAGCAACGCCGCGUGAGUGAAGAAGGGUUUCGGCUCGUAAAGCUCUGUUGGUAGUGAAGAAAGAUAGAGGUAGUAACUGGCCUUUAUUUGACGGUAAUUACUUAGAAAGUCACGGCUAACUACGUGCCAGCAGCCGCGGUAAUACGUAGGUGGCAAGCGUUGUCCGGAUUUAUUGGGCGUAAAGCGAGUGCAGGCGGUUCAAUAAGUCUGAUGUGAAAGCCUUCGGCUCAACCGGAGAAUUGCAUCAGAAACUGUUGAACUUGAGUGCAGAAGAGGAGAGUGGAACUCCAUGUGUAGCGGUGGAAUGCGUAGAUAUAUGGAAGAACACCAGUGGCGAAGGCGGCUCUCUGGUCUGCAACUGACGCUGAGGCUCGAAAGCAUGGGUAGCGAACAGGAUUAGAUACCCUGGUAGUC